CCUAGAGUUGUAGGCUUUGCCUGCUAUCUCUUACCCAUGUCUUUUGAGUACUUCGUUUCCUCGGCGGGUCCGCCCGCCGAUUGGACAAUUUAAACCAUUUGCAGUUGCAAUCAGCGUCUGAAAAACUUAAUAGUUA
rnacentral:misc_RNA from 1 species